rnacentral:rRNA from 1 species
CCUACGGGUGGCAGCAGUGAGGAAUAUUGGUCAAUGGGCGCAAGCCUGAACCAGCCAUGCCGCGUGAAGGAUGACGGCCCUAUGAGUUGUAACCUCCUUUUGCACGGGAGUACAGUCAGUUUCGUGUUCCUGUCUGAAUUUACUGUACGAAUAAGGAACGGCUAACUCCGUGCCAGCAGCCGCGGUAAUACGGAGGAUCCGAGCGUUCGCCGGAUUGAUUGGGUUUAACGGGUGCGUAGGCGGGCGGAUAAGUCAGGUGUGAAAUCCCGAGGCUCAACGUGGGAAUUGCCUUUGAUACUGUCAGGCUAGAGUGUAGUAGAGGUAAGCGGAAUGCAUGGUGUAGCGGGGAAAUGCUUAGAUAUCAGGAAGAACACCGAUGGCGAAGGCAGCUUACCGGGCUACUACUGACGUUGAGGCACGAAAGCGUGGGGAGCAAACAGGAUUAGAUACCCCAGUAGUC